rnacentral:rRNA from 1 species
UUAUCUCUGUAGAGUCUGCAUAUCAAUAAGCGGAGGAAAAGAAACUAACUAGGAUUCCCUCAGUAACGGCGAGUGAAGCGGGAAGAGCUCAAAUUUGAAAUCUUCAAGGUUCUACCUUGACGAAUUGUAGUUUAAAGAAGUGUUUUCUGUUGGAGUUUUGGUAAAAGUUCUUUGGAAUAGGACAUCAUAGAGGGUGAGAAUCCCGUAUUUGACCAUUAUUUCCAACUUUGUGAUACACUUUCAAAGAGUCGGAUUGUUUGGGAAUGCAGUCCAAAAUGGGUGGUAAAUUUCAUCUAAAGCUAAAUAUUGGCGAGAGACCGAUAGCGAACAAGUACCGUGAGGGAAAGAUGAAAAGAACUUUGAAAAGAGAGUUAAACAGUACGUGAAAUUGUCAAAAGGGAAGCGUUUGACACCAGUGUUGUUUUCUCGAAAAUCAAUUAAAAAAUGGCAUGGAUUUUGUGUUGUAUUGACUUUAUCAGCUUUCUGCACUCUUUUCUUGUCUUUUUUAAUGCACUUUUCGUUUAACAAGUCAACAUCAAUUUCUUUUGUUGUAAAAGGGUCAUUGGAAGGUGGCCUUCUUUUCGGAGAAAGUGUUUAUAGCCUUUGGCCUCUGCAAUCGGAGAGAUUGAGGUCUGCAGCGUAGAUCCUUCGGGGUUAGAGACAUUUGUGCUAAGUUAUAGCCUUUCAUAGACAACUUGUUGACUAUGAUCAGUCAUGUAGCUUACUCGCUUAUGCUAUUUUACCUACGCUUAGGAUGUUGAGUAGCGACAUACGCAC